GCAGACAAUGCUUUUCCCUUUGCUUUGCGUAUUAAUAUUUCGAAGAAACAGUGAGCUGUGGGCGUUUAGAAUUAGAACCCGAUAGAGCAGAGAUAGCAGAGCCAUGGAAGCGCAGACGAAGAAGGAGCUGACGGUGGCCGUGGGGUUUGUUAUCUUCACAGUCUUGAUUUCCGGCGUCGGAGCCUGGACCGGUGAAAUCCACGGCAGAGUUGUUUGCGAUGUCUGUGGCGACUCCGCCAUCGGACCCGAAGAUCAUGUUCUAGAAGGUGCUGAGGUAGGUAGCUGUACUAUGCGUUACGAAAUCAGGUGAAGUUCUAAAUUACCAGGCAUUCACGAAUGAUAAGGGGGUAUAUACAGUGGCGGAGACGAUGCCCGAGAGUGACAGGUGGGAUGCAUGCCUGGCACGACCUAUCAGUAGCUUCCAUGAGCACUGCAGCCAUCUUGGGGGUGGUAGCUCAGGCGUUAAGUUCACUUAUAAUCACCCAUCUGGCUAUUCUCACACCGUUAGAACUUUCGUCUAUCGACCAGCAAGCGUACCAGCAUACUGCAUUUGAGAACUCUAGAUCGAUGUACAUCUUUAUUCUGCGGUUGCAGUACGAACUUUGCUUCAACUGAAAGGAAAGGGGAAAAGAGAUUAUGUAAUCGCUGUAGAAUGUGUUUAUUACAGGGCUUCUAGUUUCUGCUUACAAAUACGCUUAGCUGUUGGAAAGUAGCUUUCACCGAUCCGAGCUAAGCAUCCGACGCGUCGUGGUACUCUCGUAGGAACUCCGAUCGAUUGCAACAGAUUUCGUGUUCAUCAAGUCAUCGCCCAGUUGCAAUUUUCUGAAGAUUUAGACCGGAAUACAAAAAAUAUAUGUAUAAAAAAAAAAAAUGCAAUUUUCGCCCCUAAUUGCAUUUUGUUCCACUGAUGCACUCAUUUACAUUUUGACUGGCUCGGCUUAAGCCCAACACAUUUAUUCGUUUAAAUUUC